CAUUUACUCCCUCUGUCCCAUGUUAAGUGACUUUCUAUUACAUGUAUCUAGACGCUUUUUAGGCAUAGAUACAUCCAUAUUUGAAAAAAAUUGAGUCACUUGAUAUGGGACGGAGUGAGUAUAAG
rnacentral:pre_miRNA from 1 species